UACGUAGGUGGCAAGCGUUGUCCGGAUUUACUGGGUGUAAAGGGCGUGUAGCCGGGCUUACAAGUCAGAUGUGAAAUCCGGGGGCUCAACCCCCGAACUGCAUUUGAAACUGUAGGUCUUGAGUAUCGGAGAGGCAGGCGGAAUUCCUAGUGUAGCGGUGAAAUGCGUAGAUAUCAGGAGGAACACCGGUGGCGAAGGCGGCCUGCUGGACUGCAACUGACGUUGAGGCCCGAAAGCGUGGGGAGCAAACAGG
rnacentral:rRNA from 1 species